GGUGCAGCAGAUGCGAGGCUAGACUGAAAAGAUGAGCAUCCCUGGAGACCGUGCUCUGUGCCCCACAAUGCUCCCUCUCCAGCUCAGCAUCCCCUCCGGCCGCCCGUCCCCGUGUCCUCCUAGGCCCACGCCCUGCAGCUGAUCACACGUUCUGAGAUUUUCAGCCCAGUAUUGCCAAAAGGCAGAGGGCCUUGGAGGCACAGGCCUCUCACCAGGACCUGGAGAACUUCCUCAAGUGGAUCCAGGAAGCAGAAACCACACUGAACAUGCUGGCAGAGGCCUCUCAGUGGGAGGACACCUUCCAGGAGGGCACCUAGGCCAGGGAGCUCAAGCAGCAGGUGCAGGUUAUCUCUUCCACAUUUCAGUUUACAAGAAAAUGAUGAAUAAAAGCAAAGAUGUAUGAGUCAUAUGAGGAGACAACAUCUGAAAAUAGUAUGCACACAUCAUUUCUGCUCUAGGAGGAGCCCUCAAAACCUCAUGGAGGACUUAGAAUUCUAAGCAUCCAGGACCCAGUUCUACCCAGCUGGCUCCUGUCAAACCAAGGUCUGCCCAUGUUAAUGCUCCACUGCUUAAGCCCUCAACGCCAAGCUGCUGUUGGACAUCUCUCACGGAGUUUGGAUUACACUCCCUUCCCUUGCUCCUGUCAAGAACUAGGAAGGAGCUGAAAUUUCACCCUACUUGCAAACAGUUUUGUCUGCUGUAGUUUCAUCAAUGCUGGAAGAAGUCAUGAGAUGCCUGAGUCAGAAAAGAACAUUCCUCUAUUUUGCCGUAAUAUCUCCACAAGUAUGACCCAGGGAAAGGGGCAGGAAAAAUGCUGUCUCAAAGAGGAAGAUGAUCAAGUAUGGAGGAGACCCACCCUCAUGGGAGAGGAAAUGGCCUUAACUUCAUUUCAAACAAAUAUCUGGGACAGAUUAAUGACAUAAAUGAUUUGUAAAAAUAUAGACAUUUUUCAUAAUUCAGGCAAAAUAACAAAGUUGUUGAGUAUUUUAGACAUGUUUUCACUACUCUAUGUGAAAGGGUUUUCAUUGUAAUAAACUAAUAACAACAGUUUCUUUCAACUUUAACUCAAGCUGUCUAUAUUGAAGGUCUUCCAAAUAUUUCAUGCUUUAGUUUUUUAUCAGAUAAGACUAUCUUUAUUAUAAAGGGGGAUAAAAUAAUAAAUUUUGUAUGAUUUUCUUAGAAUUUCUAAUAGAAGAAAAAUAAUUCCUUUGUAAGCAAUCACAAGAAAGAAAAAGCUUGGAAAGAUACCUACCAAAAGAUGAGGAAAAAAUCUGCCAAAGGAAAGCAAAACAAUGUAAAGAAAAAUAAGCAAAAUUUAUUGACCUUACAUGUUUUAAAUCACUCUCAACUAUACUGGAAUCCUUUAGCUGGGUAGUUUGAGUUAAAAGUGACUUUUGAAGAGACUGAUUCUAAUGAAUUCUCAUAAAAUUGCUGAA